CUACGGGACGCUCCAGUGGGGAAUAUUGCGCAAUGGGCGAAAGCCUGACGCAGCAACGCCGCGUGAGUGAUGAAGGCCUUCGGGUCGUAAAGCUCUGUCGGGAGGGAAGAACACCUUCGGGUCUGACGGUACCUCCCGAGGAAGCACAGGCUAACUCCGUGCCAGCAGCCGCGGUAAUACGGAGUGUGCAAGCGUUGUUCGGAAUUACUGGGCGUAAAGCGCGCGUAGGCGGCUUGAUAAGUCAGAUGUGAAAUCCCUCGGCUUAACCGAGGAACUGCAUUUGAAACUGUCAGGCUUGAGUACGGGAGGGGGAAGCGGAAUUCCCAGUGUAGAGGUGAAAUUCGUAGAUAUUGGGAGGAACACCAGCGGCGAAGGCGGCUUCCUGGACCGAUACUGACGCUGAGGCGCGAAAGCGUGGGGAGCAAACAGGAUUAGAUACCCCCGUAGUC
rnacentral:rRNA from 1 species